rnacentral:rRNA from 1 species
UACGAAGGGGGCGAGCGUUGUUCGGAUUUACUGGGCGUAAAGGGCGCGUAGGCGGCGCGAGAAGUCGAGUGUGAAAGCCCCGGGCUCAACCUGGGAACUGCAUUGGAAACUGGCAAGCUCGAGUAUGGCAGAGGGGGGUGGAAUUCCGCGUGUAGCAGUGAAAUGCGUAGAGAUGCGGAGGAACACCGAUGGCGAAGGCAGCCCCCUGGGCCAAUACUGACGCUCAGGCACGAAAGCGUGGGGAGCAAACAGG